rnacentral:rRNA from 1 species
AACGAACGCUGGCGGCGUGGAUAAGACAUGCAAGUCGAACGGGAACUUCAGCUGUAGCAAUACAGUUGCAGUUUUAGUGGCGAACGGGUGCGUAACACGUGGGCAAUCUGCCGAGAAGUGGGGGAUAGCUCGCCGAAAGGCGAAUUAAUACCGCAUAUGAUCAGCUAAGACAUCUUAGCGACAUCAAAGCCGGGGCAACCUGGCGCUUUUUGAGGAGCCCGCGGCCUAUCAGCUAGUUGGUGAGGUAACGGCUCACCAAGGCUAUGACGGGUAGCUGGUCUGAGAGGACGACCAGUCACACUGGAACUGAGACACGGUCCAGACACCUACGGGUGGCAGCAGUCGAGUAAUUUUUCUCAAUGGGGCAACCCUGAAGGAGCGACGCCGCGUGGAGGAUGAAGGUCUUUC